UACGUAGGGACCGAGCGUUGUCCGGAUUCAUUGGGCGUAAAGAGCUCGUAGGCGGCCACUCAAGUCGAAUGUGAAACCUCGAGGCUUAACCUCGAGCCUGCAUUCGAUACUGGGUGGCUAGAGUCUGGUAGGGGGAUCUGGAAUUCCUGGUGUAGCGGUGGAAUGCGCAGAUAUCAGGAGGAACACCGGUGGCGAAGGCAGCUCGCUGGGACGUUACUGACGCUGAGACGCGAAAGCGUGGGGAGCAAACAGG
rnacentral:rRNA from 1 species